rnacentral:rRNA from 1 species
UGGGGAAUAUUGGGCAAUGGAGGAAACUCUGACCCAGCGACGCCGCGUGCGGGAUGAAGGCCUUCGGGUUGUAAACCGCUUUCAGCAGGGAAGAAGCGAAAGUGACGGUACCUGCAGAAGAAGCACCGGCUAACUAUGUGCCAGCAGCCGCGGUAAUACAUAGGGUGCAAGCGUUGUCCGGAAUUAUUGGGCGUAAAGAGCUCGUAGGUGGUUCGUAACGUCGGGUGUGAAAAUCUGGGGCUCAACCCCAGACCUGCAUUCGAUACGGGCGAACUAGAGUGUGGUAGGGGAGACUGGAAUUCCUGGUGUAGCGGUGGAAUGCGCAGAUAUCAGGAGGAACACCAAUGGCGAAGGCAGGUCUCUGGGCCAUUACUGACACUGAGGAGCGAAAGCGUGGGGAGCGAACAGG